rnacentral:rRNA from 1 species
AUUGAACGCUGGCGGCAUGCUUUACACAUGCAAGUCGAACGGCAGCGCGGGCUUUGGCCUUGCGGCGAGUGGCGAACGGGUGAGUAAUGCAUCGGAACGUGCCCAGUAGUGGGGGAUAGCGCGGGGAAAGGCGGAUUAAUACCGCAUACGACCUGAGGGUGAAAGCGGGGGACCUUAAGGCCUCGCGCUAUUGGAUCGGCCGAUGUCGGAUUAGCUAGUUGGUGGGGUAAAGGCUUACCAAGGCGACGAUCCGUAGCUGGUCUGAGAGGACGACCAGCCACACUGGGACUGAGACACGGCCCAGACUCCUACGGGAGGCAGCAGUGGGGAAUUUUGGACAAUGGGGGCAACCCUGAUCCAGCCAUGCCGCGUGCGGGAAGAAGGCCUUCGGGUUGUAAACCGCUUUUGUUCGGGAAGAAAUCCUCUGGGCUAAUACCCCGGGGGGAUGACGGUACCGGAAGAAUAAGCACCGGCUAACUACGUG